CUGACAGGAAGUGGACUCAGAGGAAGUUGAUGCAAAUUACAGAGUGUCGGUUUGAAUCUGCAGAUGAACUAAGGUAAACUGACCGAAAGUCUGGGAUCAGGUCUCGCAUGUGUGCGGCCUGCGGGGGUGGAGGUGUCUGCGACUAUCAUUAAAGCAGGAAGGUGGUGGAGACGAGUGCACUAGCCAAUCAGAGGGAACCAUAUUUGUCUGUCCAGUGUUUGCUGUGUUGUUUUGGUCGUUGAGUGUAGAAACAUGUCACCUUCAUCCGUACGGAGACGCCUCCCUGAGCGCCUCUCCGUGUCUGUCUGUCUGUGACGCUCCUCCUGCUCCUCCUCCUGUCUGAGCGAGCCGCCGUGUCUCCUCCUCUGCUCCUCUGUCCUUCAGGUAGCGUCUCUGGAGUGCAUCUUUGACGGCUCAACUUUAGGACAGCAUCACCCGGAGCUCCCCUCCCCUACGUCCUCCACUCUCUACCCCCACGGAGAGGAAAGCCCCCUCCCCUCCUGCUCCUCCAACCCUUACCCCCCGAUCCAGCAGGCCGAGGCCGCCCCGCCUUCCUCACCCAUAAUCCCCGUGAUCCCAAUCUUGCCAAUCCCAGCCGAGACCACCGCCAUCCCUCCAACGUCACAGGCCAAUCCUCCGCCUGUGGUGGUCAACGCAGACAGCCUGGACACACCCCUAUACGUGAGUG